rnacentral:pre_miRNA from 1 species
UUUUUUAAAUUUCAUCCAUUUUUAUUGUUAAAAACUAGCUUGACUGACAGAAAACCAAAGUCACAUGUGACGUGUCAUGUGUACCUCAUUUUGAUGUAUAAGGACCAAUUUUGAACGGUAAAAAUGGAUGAGAUUUUUAGUA